UGGGGAAUAUUGCACAAUGGGGGAAACCCUGAUGCAGCGACGCCGCGUGAGCGAAGAAGGUUUUCGAAUCGUAAAGCUCUGUCCUAUGAGAAGAUAAUGACGGUAUCAUAGGAGGAAGCCCCGGCUAAAUACGUGCCAGCAGCCGCGGUAAUACGUAUGGGGCGAGCGUUGUCCGGAAUUAUUGGGCGUAAAGGGUACGUAGGCGGUCUAUUAAGUCAGGUGUGAAAGCGUGAGGCUUAACCUCAUUAAGCACUUGAAACUGAUAGACUUGAGUGAAGGAGAGGAAAGUGGAAUUCCUAGUGUAGCGGUGAAAUGCGUAGAUAUUAGGAGGAAUACCGGUGGCGAAGGCGACUUUCUGGACUUUUACUGACGCUCAGGUACGAAAGCGUGGGGAGCAAACAGG
rnacentral:rRNA from 1 species